rnacentral:rRNA from 1 species
UUGAUUAUGGCUCAGGAUGAACGCUAGCGACAGGCUUAACACAUGCAAGUCGAGGGGCAGCGGUGGUGAAGGCUUGCCUUUACCAGCCGGCGACCGGCGCACGGGUGAGUAACACGUAUGCAACCUGCCUGCCACAGCCGGAUAAUCGGGAGAAAUUCCGUCUAAUACGGCAUAAUGCAUCGACGGGACAUCCUGUUGGUGCCAAAGGUUGAUUCCGGUGGCGGAUGGGCAUGCGUCGCAUUAGUUAGUUGGCGGUGUAACGGACCACCAAGACGACGAUGCGUAGGGGUUCUGAGAGGAAGGUCCCCCACACUGGUACUGAGACACGGACCAGACUCCUACGGGAGGCAGCAGUGAGGAAUAUUGGUCAAUGGGCGGGAGCCUGAACCAGCCAAGUCGCGUGAGGGAUGACGGCCCUAUGGGUUGUAAACCUCUUUUGCCGGGGAGCAAAGUGCCGCACGUGUGCGGUUUGGAGAGUACCCGGAGGAAAAGCAUCGGCUAACUCCGUGCCAGCAGCCGCGGUAAUACGGAGGAUGCGAGCGUUAUCCGGAUUUAUUGGGUUUAAAGGGUGCGUAGGCGGACGCUUAAGUCAGCGGUAAAAUUGCGGGGCUCAACCUCGUCGAGCCGUUGAAACUGGGUGCCUUGAGUGGGCGAGAAGUACGCGGAAUGCGUGGUGUAGCGGUGAAAUGCAUAGAUAUCACGCAGAACUCCGAUUGCGAAGGCAGCGUACCGGCGCCCAACUGACGCUGAAGCACGAAGGCGUGGGUAUCGAACAGGAUUAGAUACCCUGGUAGUCCACGCAGUAAACGAUGAAUGCUAGUUGUCCGGGGCGAUUGAGUUCUGGGUGACACAGCGAAAGCGUUAAGCAUUCCACCUGGGGAGUACGCCGGCAACGGUGAAACUCAAAGGAAUUGACGGGGGCCCGCACAAGCGGAGGAACAUGUGGUUUAAUUCGAUGAUACGCGAGGAACCUUACCCGGGCUCAAACGCAGGAGAGAUGUUUUUGAAAGGAGGCAGCCAGCAAUGGUCUCCUGCGAGGUGCUGCAUGGUUGUCGUCAGCUCGUGCCGUGAGGUGUCGGCUUAAGUGCCAUAACGAGCGCAACCCCUACCUACAGUUGCCAUCGCGUGAUGGCGGGCACUCUGUGGGGACUGCCUGCGCAAGCAGUGAGGAAGGCGGGGAUGACGUCAAAUCAGCACGGCCCUUACGUCCGGGGCGACACACGUGUUACAAUGGCAGGUACAGCGGGAAGCCACCCGGCGACGGGGCGCGGAACCCGAAAACCUGUCUCAGUUCGGAUUGGAGUCUGCAACCCGACUCCAUGAAGCUGGAUUCGCUAGUAAUCGCGCAUCAGCCACGGCGCGGUGAAUACGUUCCCGGGCCUUGUACACACCGCCCGUCAAGCCAUGGAAGCCGGGGGUGCCUGAAGUGCGUGACCGCAAGGAGCGCCCUAGGGUAAAACCGGUGAUCUGGGGAUAAGUCGUAACAAGGUAACCGU